UAGAAACUAAGUUGCCAAAUCUCUUGUAGUGCAUUCUUCAGUUCCAUACAUACAGUAUGUGAUUUGGAAGUGCAACUUAUUGCUUGCAUCCUACCCUUCCACAUUUAAUGUACUCUAACAUGCUUAAUGAUGUGUUUUGUUGUUUACUGUGCUUUAUCAUGCUUCAAUUAUGCUUUACUGCAGUAAACCUUUACAAGUUUAGUAGACACACACAUGGUUGCUUGUCCUGAUAAUUCAAAAACAAAUUGGUGCAAACAGCUGCACAACAUCUAGAAACAGCCACAGCAAAGUCUACUUUAAUUCACCUACAAGUUUCUGUUACAAAUCAUAAAGCAGUCUGUUUAAUGUAUUACUGAUUAAAAGAAAGGCAAUGCGUUAUCAAGUGCAUUCUUUUUUCAAUAUCUGGUACAUAACUCACCCACAGUGACUCAUCAUCUGGAUGCAUCAACCACUUUUUAUUACUGUCAUGAUGCCAAAUUUAUUACAUUAUUUAUGUUAAACAAUAAUUACUAAGGGGUUUUAAGCAAUGUAUACUUCAGCAGGAUAAGCCAUGUCUGUAUUCCUUUAAAACUCUUAUCAGUACCAGGAAACACGCUGCACCUUCCAAUCCAGGGUAAAAUUCACCAGAACUAACUCAGCUGCCGUGGCUUGUCCCAGGAUGGGUAAAAGACCAAAUUAAACCCCUUAAGAAGUUUAUUUUUCAAUGAGGGAAUUAACCCUGUAUCUGCCAAGCUAAACGCAGGAUCUUGACCCUGUCACAGGUAAAUGACCGGCUGGUUGUUGAAGGCCCUCAGCCCUCACCCGCUGCCUUAAGCCCAGAAACACGUAUGUUCAAAAAUUGUCUGGAAACUUUUUCAAGCAGCACGUGAUCAUUCUUACUGCAUGCUCCAAAAAUGGAGGAAAGCCUUAUUGCACAGAGUGGUGCUGCACUUACAAUAACUGCACAAAAACUUUGUAAAAGAAGGGAAAAACACAGGACCAGAGUCAUGUGGCCAAAGGAGUGGAUCAUGAGGAGAAAGGAGUGGACCAUCAUCUUCUAAAUGAGUGAUGCUUAAGUUACUGCAAUUUGUUUGUAUAGAUUUACACACUUUUGUGGAGCUGGAGAGGCUUGUAGGACAAUGAAUAACCUGAAAUUACAUUAUAAUGUGUCAGUGUACAUAUCAAUAAAACAAUUGAUUGUAGCAGGA